rnacentral:rRNA from 1 species
CGGUAAUACGGAGGAUGCGAGCGUUAUCCGGAUUCAUUGGGUUUAAAGGGUGCGUAGGCGGACUAAUAAGUCAGUGGUGAAAUCCUGCAGCUUAACUGCAGAACUGCCAUUGAUACUGUUAGUCUUGAGUUUGGUUAAGGUAGGCGGAAUGUGUAAUGUAGCGGUGAAAUGCUUAGAUAUUACACAGAACACCAAUUGCGUAGGCAGCUUACUGGACCGACACUGACGCUGAGGCACGAAAGCGUGGGGAUCGAACAGGAUUAGAUACCCUGGUAGUCCACGCCGUAAACGAUGAUUACUCGCUGUUGGCGAUACACAGUCAGCGGCUAAGCAAAAGCAAUAAGUAAUCCACCUGGGGAGUACGGCCGCAAGGUUGAA